rnacentral:rRNA from 1 species
UACGGAGGGGGCUAGCGUUGUUCGGAAUUACUGGGCGUAAAGCGCACGUAGGCGGCUUUGCAAGUCAGAGGUGAAAGCCCGGGGCUCAACCCCGGAAUAGCCUUUGAGACUGCAUCGCUAGAAUUGUGGAGAGGUAAGUGGAAUUCCGAGUGUAGAGGUGAAAUUCGUAGAUAUUCGGAGGAACACCGGUGGCGAAGGCGGCUUCCUGGACAAUUACUGACGCUGAGACGCGAAAGCGUGGGGAGCAAACAGG